CUGGUGGUACAUUGGUUUGUGUGGGUGUGAGUGUGAUUAAACACCAUUGUAGUUUUAUUUAACGGUGCUGGUAAUUUUGAUGAGAUUAUUUCUUAUUUUAUUAUUUUAGUGUCAUUUUAUUAAGUGAUUGAAAUUCCCUGCAAGAAUACCCGUUUUGAGUUGCCAAUUUCGAUUUUUGUCCACGCCCGGUCAAUCUUUUCUAAUCAGGGCAUCUCUUCGCUGAUAGGGUUGGAGGGAUUUCCAAUUGCAUAAAAUGUGACACAAAAUACUAGGGAGGGAAGACGUGUUUUGGGUUGUUAUAUUUCCAAAUCCUAUCUCACUGAUGCAUUUUUCUGCUCUCUCUUUACCAAUCUCGAAUUGUACCUACUGCAGCUUUAAAUAGAUACUUUGAUUUUAACCUGCAGCAAUUCACUGUCCACAAGAGAGCACCCUUGGCCACUUGUUACGCUGAAAGUAAGGUAGCAAAGGAGUUGACUGAAAGGAUGUGCGUUGGGGAGAAGUCAAACAGCGAAAAUGUCGUUCCGUGGUAAAGAUUGCUUUAACCAAGCCCAUCAUUGCCUCCACUCCAAAGGGUUUCGGCCUAGCACACAACUUACCCUGGUCGGAACCAAAAUUGUACUCUGGUCCAUCUUUGUGAAAGUAGUUGUUGAACUCUUGGCCGGCUUUGCAGGUCCACCUCUGUGCAUUGAGCACCGACUCUGAACAUGAUGUAUCGGCCCCGGCAGAGAGAGACAGAGAGAGAGAGAGAGAGAGACGAAGAGUGUUCCCUUAUCUCUGUCUUUCUCAAAGCAUGCCCCUUUAACCCAUUACCUCUCCGCCAUUAAUCGGCGAGAGUAGUGCUUCAUACCGGUCCGUCCGUUCGUCUAAACUCACCCGGCCCUGCCGCUCAGGGUCCCCUGUGUGGGCAGCCUGUCCCUGGGUGCAUGUGAACGAUGGGGUGAGCGGGGACACCCCUGGGUGCAGCCGCACUCUGCCUCAGGGGCCUUCUCUCAGGGUCACCACGCUCACAGCGGCGCCGUAUCAUUCGGUGAUGAUUAAGGGCUGUGUGCACGGAGAACUCUGCACAGUCACGACCCAUUGUGUCCAAACAAACAGCACUGCAUUGCAGUGACCUUCCCCCCCCCCCCCCCCUAAUGGAGGCACGAGUGCCUGGGACGACCAGAGGCGGAUUGUUGAGAUUAUUAUCGCUGUUAUGAACCGGCAUAUCAUUUGAACUAUUUUGUUAGUACCCGUCUUCCUCCUGUUUGUGUGUGUGUGUGUGUGUGUGUGUGUGUGUGUGUGUGUGUGUGUGUGUGUGUGUGUGUGUGUGUGUGUGUGUGUGUGUGUGUGUGUGUGUGUGUGUGUGUGUGUGUGUGUGUGUGUGUGUGUGUGUGUGUGUGCGUGCGUGCGUGCGUGCGUGCGUGAGAGACGGGCAACAUUCAGAGUUUAGUUUAAUUGGGAGAAUGAAGGCCAUUAGGCCCUUGUUAUGUGUGUGCCGCGUGCCAUACCUCCACUGUGACAACCCUGUUGCAAACGGAAAGUCUGGUCACGCUCUGAAGGUUAUUAUUACAGGCGGACCGGCUCCGGAGCAAUGUGGACUCGUAGAUAGGAAGACAACAUUCCAAACGUCUCCCUGGAUCAGGUGACUUACACAGAUGCUUGGAAGUCACCUUCGCCCGGCCAUCUGAACAUCUGUCUAUCAUCAGCCAGUGGGCAUACACACAAACGGCAACAAUAUGUAGAGUUUGUUCGCGGAUCUCUGAUAUGCCAGUCUUUGUUGUUUGUAGGUCCACAAUAUUGUGCAUAUGCGGGUGCACGUGCGUGUGUGUGGGUGUGUGCGUGCGUUUGUGUGUGCGUGCGUGUGUGUGUGCGAUGCUGACAACCAUCCGCCUGCCCGAUCGGCGGUGCUGAUGGAUGGCGCUCAAGAGUACUUGACACGCUCUUCUGUUUCAGUCACCAACACCUGAUAGAUAUUCACCGCCCCACUCAUACAUAUGCAUAGGCCCUCCUCUUCCUCUGGCCUUCGGCGGCGGCGCCAUGGCAACCGCAUUCCAGCGCCGACCCCCUUCCGGAAGGGUCCCCGGUAGGGCGUCUUCUAGCUGAGGCUUCAAAGGGUGGGCGGGUUCACAGGCCUGGCCGGGUCACGGUGUCCAGGUGCUUAACUUUGUGCGUUUUUUUUUAUGUCUUCCUAAGGACAUCCGGACUGACCUUGUGACCUCAGGAAAGGGCAAUGUGUUGAGGGUAUUUUUUUUGGGGGUGGAAGUGGGCGGUGUCAGAGGCGUUGGUUGGGGUGCAUUCAGCGCACUGAGUGAGAGGCAGUGUCAUUGUCGCGCUAACAAAGACUUUGGGGAUGAUGUCAUCGAGGGCUGUUGAAAGGGAUGCCUGGACUGGGAAUGCUGGACCAGUGGCCCGUGGGCAAGUGGUGGCGGUGGCGGCUUGCACGGCCAAACCCAGUGGUGCUUGGCCACACCGGCGAUACAUCAUAGAUUAUACGGGAAGGGAGCCAAGACCAGAGGGGGGAGGGAGAGAGAGAGAGAGAGAGAGAAAGUAAGGUAGAUUGAGAUGCAGCAGCUGCAGGCUACUGUGCACAAACAGACACGUGUGUGUGUGUACACACACACACGCAAGCACACACACACACACACACGCACACACGCACACACCAGACUCCAUGAAGUAUUCAUCCUGUGUAUUCUGCUCUCUUCUUGUCUCUGUGGCACUGAAGGAAAAAUUGCCUAACAUGAACAAAGGCAUGUCUGCACGCUGCCUGUGUUUAUGUGUUUAUGUGUGUAUAUCAGUGUGUCCCUGCACACUUCUUGCAGGUAUGUUUGUGUAUCUUAUUAUUCUGUCUGUCAGCACCUUGACUGUGUGUGUGUGUGUGUGUGUAAAUUGCUUUUCUGACCUUUUUAUUAUUUAUGCUUUCGGUUUGUCCUGCUUUCGUCUAACUGCUAUCACAUCAUUUAAUGUGUUGUUUCUAUCAAAGCAUAUCCACGCUAAACCGGGGACUUAAAGUUGGCUGAGCUGAAGAAUUUCCUCGGACUUCCUGAUUGGUCUACGUUUUAUCCAGCCCACCCAAGUAUUGGGGCCUAUACAAUGUUUUGCUUGUAAACUGGUUGCUUGCUUCGUAUCACGAAUGGCCUCCAGAGACCUAUGAGUGACAAGACGCAUCCCAAUAAGCCCACAGCCCAGUUAUCCUCCAUGUUGUUAAAGCCUUGGAGAGAGCACCACAAGCUCUCUCUCUCUCUCUCUCUCUCUCUCUCUCUCUCUCUCUCUCUCUCUCUCUCUCUCUCUCUCUCUCUCUCUCUCUCUCUCUCUCUCUCUCUCUCUCUCUCUCUCUCUCUCUCUCUCUCUCGCCCUCGCCCUCGCCCGCCCGCCCGCCCUUGGUGCUUUAGUGAGUCUCAUGCAUGGCGUAGCUCAACACUGACCAAGCUGUAUAGAGGUUGAAGACGGAGCGAUGUCAAAGGAGUGUAGGGGGGCGGGGGGGAGCAUUGAGUUGUCAUUCAACCGUGUAUCAAAAAAAAAAAAAAAGGAACAAAAACUCUUCUUCUGUGAAAUAAUUGCCGCCGUUCUCUUCCCGGGGAGUUAUUUUCUUCUCUUUCAUCCCGUUUCUUUUUCCUUUGUUUUGCGCUGAACUUUGCGCCCCUGAAUGAUGCAAGCCCCCCCCCCCCGCCUCUCUGUAGAGAUGAGGAGCGCAGGGAAAACAAGGCAAUCGAGUCCCUCUUUAGAAGAAACCAAGCCUCCUCUUCGUUCGGCGCUGCACUUUUUUCUUCUCUUUUUUUUGUUUUGUUUGGCUUUUGUUCUUCCGUCGUGAGUUUUGGAGAGGUAGCAGUCGAUGCAGUAAACGAAAGGCAGCACAACAAACCGGUUUAAAAAGUGAAUGCAUUUUUAGCGCAUACUCACACACCCUCACACCCACACACACACACACACACGCGCUCAUACGCACAUGCACGCACCAACAACCACUUUCGUAGCCAAACAAAAACUCGAUAUAGUUGUUCACUCUGCGAUUGGACGAUCACGCUUUGUCUCCUUCUGCUUUUUUUGCGACCCAAAUAUCGUCCAUCUUCCUCUCCUUGACAAAGAGCUGGCUCAGGGGGACGGGUCGAGGUGGGUGUUGGGGUGGGGUUGGGGGUGAAGAAGAUGAGGGAGGGGGGUGGGAGGGGGGGAGAUAGUCAUCUUGAAGCUUACAUCGAUUACAACGCCGCAUUGACCCCAAUUGCGACUGAUUAGCACCAUAAGCUGUCUGCCAACCCCACCCAGCGCACCACCAACCCAACCCCCGAGCCUCAGGUCUCUGGAGUGACUCCCCGCUGUCCGCCUGGCUGUUCUCUAAUAGGACGUUAACGAGCCACGAGGAUGAUGCGUAGAGGCUGACCUUUUGAGGUGGAUCGUAAUCUAUUACACGUUUAGGCUUCAGUCGGAUGCAAAAUCAUGGUAAGGUCAUGCUGAUCGGUUGAAUUUGUAUUUGUCAUCGAUCGUAGUCAUAGUAAUUGGUUUAUGACCUCAUCUGUGUUCUCGGAGAUCAUGCCACUGUCAUAUGAACAUUUCACGUACAUAUUUCAUGCCUCGUUAUUUUUCGGGAUUUCUGCUCCAUUUAGGUACUGUUAUGUACAAAAGGAAAUGCCUUCAAAUGCUAUUUUGUGUUAAAUAGGGCGGUUGGCAGCCUCACCGGUGCCCCCCUGAUAAAUUAUCCAACGAAGGGGGUCACACACCUUAGCCUUAGUAUUAGCAUUCACCCAAGGCUGCAGGACAAACACACACAUACUGUACACACACACACACAGACAUGAACACACACAAACAAACGCACCCACCCACCCACACACACACACACUCUCAAACCCCCCUCGGACACGAACUCACACACCAACACGAACACGCACACACCAACACACACACACACAACACACAAACACACACACACACACACACACACACACACACACGCGCACGCUCGGAUAAAUGCGAGAGCGAGGGAGGCAUGUGAGAAGACAGAGAGGGCGUUUGGGGCCAGACAAACACCGUUCCAUUAACCUGUCCCUCCAAACCGGGGCGCCUGCUGUCCAGCCCCCUAGCCACCCCACCCAUCACCGGCCAUCUCCCAGCCAUCGCCCCCAAGCACCCCCACACAUCACCCCUCGCUGAUUAAUGACGCUGCACUGCCGGGGUCCUCUCCCGUCUGUAGACAGCCCCCGGCCCGCCCAGCAAAAUAAACUCACUCACGCAAUUCUGUCACUCACUCACUCACUCACUCACCCUCUCACUCACUCUCUUGCUUGCUCGGGCACACGCUUACUCACUCACUCACUCAAACAGGCACACUCACUCACUCCCUCACUGAGUCAUCUUUUCUCUCGCUCGCACAGGCUCACUCACUCAUUCACUCACUCACUCACUCACUCACUCACUCACUCACUCACUCACUCACUCACUCACUCACUCACUCACUCACACAGGCUUGUUCGCUCACUCACUCCCACAGACACACACACACACACACACACACACACACACACACACACACACACACACACACACACACACACACACACACACUACCCAAUAUGAACCGUGUCUUCAAGUCUUGUCGCUGUGACAUUUUGUCUUAAUUACACACCUCCCCGUUGAUGGGCAUUGUCAUUAUGCUUUUCCUUUGUCCAAUCAAACCCAACUGUGUUUUACAAGGACAUGUUUUUAUCUUGGAUGAACAUAAAGCUGGUUCAAUUAUAAUGUUGGUUCUUUGCCUGGACUCAUUGUCCAGUCGGUAGUUGGUGAAGACUCGCAGAAAAACCAAUAUGAGAACUCUGGCAGGUCUUCUAUAGAACAGUGGUUCCCCUGUGUGUGUGUGUGUGUGUGUGUGUGUGUGUGUGUGUGUGUGUGUGUGUGUGUGUGUGUGUGUGUGUGUGUGUGUGUGUGUGUGUGUGUGUGUGUGUGUGUGUGUGUGUGUGUGUGUGUGUGUGCCAGGUAUCUUUACCAUGACCUUGAGUUGUGGUCUCCUCAAUCCCAGCUGCAUGGCUGCCCUUUAACACACAGAAGGCAGCGUAAUGUCUCUUGUCAGGCCCAAUAGAUCACACACGCACGCUUGCACGUUCAAACACACAUACACACACAGAGAGAACACACACCAACACACGCACACACCCCAGACAAACGAACACACACACCCCAGAAACAGGAACGCACACACCCCAGACACAAGAACACACACACCCCAGUCACACGAACACACACACACACACACACACACACACACACACACACACACACACACACACACACACACACACACACACACACACACACACACA